UGCAAGUCGAGCGGUACAUUUCUAGCUUGCUAGAAGAUGACGAGCGGCGGACGGGUGAGUAAUGCUUGGGAACAUGCCUUGAGGUGGGGGACAACAGUUGGAAACGACUGCUAAUACCGCAUAAUGUCUACGGACCAAAGGGGGCUUCGGCUCUCGCCUUUAGAUUGGCCCAAGUGGGAUUAGCUAGUUGGUGAGGUAAUGGCUCACCAAGGCGACGAUCCCUAGCUGGUUUGAGAGGAUGAUCAGCCACACUGGGACUGAGACACGGCCCAGACUCCUACGGGAGGCAGCAGUGGGGAAUAUUGCACAAUGGGCGCAAGCCUGAUGCAGCCAUGCCGCGUGUGUGAAGAAGGCCUUCGGGUUGUAAAGCACUUUCAGUCAGGAGGAAAGGUUAGUAGUUAAUACCUGCUAGCUGUGACGUUACUGACAGAAGAAGCACCGGCUAACUCCGUGCCAGCAGCCGCGGUAAUACGGAGGGUGCGAGCGUUAAUCGGAAUUACUGGGCGUAAAGCGUACGCAGGCGGUUUGUUAAGCGAGAUGUGAAAGCCCCGGGCUCAACCUGGGAACUGCAUUUCGAACUGGCAAACUAGAGUGUGAUAGAGGGUGGUAGAAUUUCAGGUGUAGCGGUGAAAUGCGUAGAGAUCUGAAGGAAUACCGAUGGCGAAGGCAGCCACCUGGGUCAACACUGACGCUCAUGUACGAAAGCGUGGGGAG
rnacentral:rRNA from 1 species